rnacentral:rRNA from 1 species
GGGAAUAUUGCACAAUGGGCGCAAGCCUGAUGCAGCCAUGCCGCGUGUAUGAAGAAGGCCUUCGGGUUGUAAAGUACUUUCAGCAGUGAGGAAGGUGGAUGCGUUAAUAGCGUAUUCAUUUGACGUUAGCUGCAGAAGAAGCACCGGCUAACUCCGUGCCAGCAGCCGCGGUAAUACGGAGGGUGCGAGCGUUAAUCGGAAUUACUGGGCGUAAAGCGCAUGCAGGUGGUUUGUUAAGUCAGAUGUGAAAGCCCGGGGCUCAACCUCGGAAUUGCAUUUGAAACUGGCAGACUAGAGUACUGUAGAGGGGGGUAGAAUUUCAGGUGUAGCGGUGAAAUGCGUAGAGAUCUGAAGGAAUACCGGUGGCGAAGGCGGCCCCCUGGACAGAUACUGACACUCAGAUGCGAAAGCGUGGGGAGCAAACAGG